CAACUGGAACUGAAACCCAGGACUCCGUCUCUUGCCAGUGAAAGUUAUGUUAGGAAGCAGUGAGGGGUCUAAAGCAGUAUGAAAGGCAAAGAGAAAAGGAAGGAAGACUGUACACAGAGAAUAAAUAACUUGGCCAAGCCAUUCAGCUAGGAAGUUGUAGAUCCUAAAUUAAGAGUUCAAGGUCUUAAUGGCUACUCUAUGCGGCCUCUCAUAGUCUUUUCAAGGGUUUUGGAGAAGAAUAAAAGAUCAGUCAUCCACAGAUGUUUGAGUGGUUACAAUGUGCCAGCCUCCCUUCUAGGUACUGGAGAUAAAGUGGGACAAGAGAGGUGAGGUCUGGACCCUUGGCACUUUCACGAUAAAAUACACAGUUGCUUGUGAUACAUCAGUAUCCUCACUCACCCCCAACUCCAGAGGCUGAAACUAACUCUCCUCCUCCCUCUUCCAACUGCUGAGGAAGAUGAGUCAAUGGUGUUACUGGACCCUGUGAACUGAUGCUGUGAAGAGAGGCCAUUUAACACGGACUACGGGGAAUGGUGCCACAGGGGGCUCAGUGCUGCCCUUCACUCUCAGCAUUUUGCUCACUCAGCAUUGAUGACAGGAUGUCCCAAAAGUAACAAAAGAUGGGAGCCAGUCCUCUCAUAGCUGUUUCUUCAAUCAUCCCAUCAACAGCUCUUCAUUUAUUGAACUACCUUCCUUUUCCAAAGAGGUAAUGCUGAGAUCAGUCAGAAAGGCUUUCUGAGAAA
rnacentral:lncRNA from 1 species